GGUUGCUGUGUGUUAGUUUUUACUGUUUUAAACUGUAAUUUCGUGUUGUACAUUUGGUUUGUCAGGAUGAUUUGGCUGUCUGAUCUUCAAUCUAAAGUAGUCAUAACCACUCAAAUCAAGUUGUGAUUAAAAUCUGUGAACCACAGUAAGAUCAUCCAAACUCUGUCUCCAUUUGAUAAUCACUUACUACAGCCAUGAUUAUGCUAAGCA
rnacentral:lncRNA from 1 species